GGAGAGGUGUCCGAGAGGCCGAAGGAGCACGCUUGGAAAGCGUGUGUAGCUUUUUGUUACCGUGGGUUCGAAUCCCACCCUCUCCG
rnacentral:tRNA from 1 species